UGCCUACGGGUGGCAGCAGUGGGGAAUAUUGCACAAUGGGCGGAAGCCUGAUGCAGCAACGCCGCGUGAGCGAUGAAGGCCUUUGGGUCGUAAAGCUCUGUCCUUGGGGAAGAAAAAAAUGACGGUACCCUUGGAGGAAGCCCCGGCUAACUACGUGCCAGCAGCCGCGGUAAUACGUAGGGGGCAAGCGUUAUCCGGAAUUAUUGGGCGUAAAGAGUGCGUAGGUGGUCUUGUAAGCGCGGGGUGAAAGGCAAUAGGUCAACUAUUGGAAGCCCUGCGAACUGUGAGGCGUGAGUGCAGGAGAGGAAAGCGGAAUUCCUAGUGUAGCGGUGAAAUGCGUAGAUAUUAGGAGGAACACCAGUGGCGAAGGCGGCUUUCUGGACUGUAACUGACACUGAGGCACGAAAGCGUGGGGAGCAAACAGGAUUAGAUACCCGGGUAGUCUC
rnacentral:rRNA from 1 species